ensembl:lncRNA
ACUCAGGCUCUGAAGGUCCCAGGUCCUGAGCCAGGACUCUUCAGGUGAGGACGGCAGCAGUUCUGGAGCCCCAACCAGCCUCUAGUGCUGGGCGCUGCCACCUACCUGCUGGGUGACUUUGACUCUCCUGGGACCCCAUUUCCUGGUCUGUAUGAUGGAGUUGACACCACAGCCUCACCGCGCUGUAGGGAGAGCAGAAGAGGGACAGCAGAGCUCAGCGUGCAGGGACGAAUGCACGCGGCGAAGCAGGCAAGGUGUCCGUGCCUUCAUGUCCCCAGGGCUGGUGAGAGAGAGAGGGUCAUCUUUCUGGAGGGGACACAUCAGCUGAGCACAGGGACGUGUGAAUCUCAUUUUACAGGUGAGGACACAGAGAGGCAACAGAGUUCAGGAACACGCCAGGGAUGUGGUGGGGCACGGCCAGCUGCAGGGUCGGCGAGUGGAUCCCACGUGGCGGUCGAGGGAUGUCACCAUUUCACAGAAGGGCCCUGGAGUAGGGCUUGGCAACCUCACCGCUAGAGCACGACUGCUUUGUUUGCUUUGUGAUACUGUUUUUGUUUAGUCACUCAGUCACGUCUGAUUCUUUUUCGAUCCUAUGGACUGUAGCCCACCAGGUUCCUCUGUCCAUGGGAUUUCUCAGGCAAGAACAUUGGAGUAGGUCGCCACUUCCUUCUCUAGGGGGAUCUUCCCAACCCAGGGAUUGAACCUGAGUCUCCUACAUUAGCAGGUGGACUUUUUACCACUGAGCCACCUGGGAAGCUAUAACAAGAGUUGACACUCGUUACUGGAGGUAGUUUUUUAAGUCACUGAAUUAGCAAAUCCUGGGCUGUUGCUCCUCAGGAACUCACAAGGCGACAAGGCUCCUGCGAACCCCUUGUCACAUUUUCAUCACCACCAUACAUAAUUUUGUC